AACGAACGCUGGCGGCAUGCCUAACACAUGCAAGUCGAACGAGACCUUCGGGUCUAGUGGCGCACGGGUGCGUAACGCAUGGGAACCUGCCUUUAGGUUCGGAAUAACUCAGAGAAAUUUGAGCUAAUACCGGAUGAUGUCUUCGGACCAAAGAUUUAUCGCCUUUAGAUGGGCCCGCGUUGGAUUAGCUAGUUGGUGGGGUAAAGGCCUACCAAGGCGACGAUCCGUAGCUGGUCUGAGAGGAUGAUCAGCCACACUGGGACUGAGACACGGCCCAGACUCCUACGGGAGGCAGCAGUGGGGAAUAUUGGACAAUGGGCGAAAGCCUGAUCCAGCAAUGCCGCGUGAGUGAUGAAGGCCUUAGGGUUGUAAAGCUCUUUUACCCGAGAUGAUAAUGACAGUAUCGGGAGAAUAAGCUCCGGCUAACUCCGUG
rnacentral:rRNA from 1 species